ensembl:lncRNA
CAUCAAUGUUUUACAGGAUCUCCUGGAGGCCACUCCUUAAACACGUCAGUGCUCCAUAUUAAAGCAGAGAGUCGAGGAUCAAGGAUUGUGUUACUUAGAUUUAUGUAGAUAUAGAUCACACACAAGACAUAACUAGCUUUUAGUUAAACACGGUCGAUCUCUGACCGCCUGAAAUUAUGAGAGAUAACAUCAAUGUUUUACAGGAUCUCCUGGAGGCCACUCCUUAAACACGUCAGUGCUCCAUAUUAAAGCAGAGAGUCGAGGAUCAAGGAUUGUCAGAAAACAUUAUGAAACCUACAAUGAACCAGCCAGACACCAAAUGUGUAUUGGCAAUAUUUGUGGCUGCGUCAAGUACUCUAUGUGUAGCAGCAUGCCCAGAGAGCCAUUUCCAAGUUGAAACGCUGUGCUGCUUGAACUGCCAAGAAGGUGAGUAUGUUGCCCGCAACUGCUCUGGAGGACCCAGAGUCCACAUUGGUGUGCUAUGCAAUCCAUGCCGCAGAUGUGAAGAAAUUGAAGAGAUAACUGUUUCCCAUUGCACACAGUUUUCAGACACACAGUGUGCCAGUAUACACAGAAAAGUGCAACAGAUAACCUUGUUUGGUUUCUCGUCUGUGAUAGCCGCUGUUGUCAUUCUGGCUGUGAUUCUGGCAGCCUGCUUCUUUUGCAGAAUCAGAAAAUCUGGUGAAUCUGAUGGAAGCUCUGCAGGAGAACCAUUCCAUAUUUCCAUAUAAAAGAUGCAGAGAGUCUGAAGAAAAUCUUAACUCAGGAAAAAGGCCAGCAUCAAAUACUGUAUUUUAUCAUUCAAAGGUUAAUUAAAAUGACAAAUACAGCAGUACAUUUUUAAAUAUAAAAAUUGUUACAAUUUUUUAUUGUAAUAUAUAUAUAUAUAUAUAUAUAUAUUGUGUGUGUGGGGGGGGGGGUACAUUUUAUUUUAAGGACCAAUUCUAACUGCUAACUAACUACUCAAGUCAAACCACCUUUAUUUAUAUAGUGCUUUAUACAAUACAGAUUGUGUCAAAGUAGCUUUACAGUUAAACAGGAAAAUAGUGUGAUGCAAGCAAGAUUCAAUGCUGCUAUAAAGCAGCUCUAAAAAGAGGACAAUAGUAAACAGUAGUAAACUAUUUUUAUUUUUGCCUCCAUGUACUCCUAAUUUGCUGCUAGUUAGUAAGGGAGUUGUUACAUUUUUGUAUAGGGUAGAAUUAAGGGAUCUAAAAUACAGACAUGCAGAAUUAAUAUGUGCAUUAAGUAGUAAUAAACAUCGGAUAUGCAUGCUAAUAAACAACUAGUUAAUAGUGAGAAUUGGUCCUUAAAUAUAUAUAGGUGUGUGCACAUCUGUUUAUAUUGAUGUCAUAUUUAGAAAUGUAUCUGUGUUUAAAAAUACCUGCUGCUGCUGCAUGAUGCCGUUCAUCAUUUUUAUUUUAUAUUAUUUUUUUAAGAAGAAAAGACAAUACAAGAAAAGAAAAGAAAAGAAAACAUAUCUAUUUGGAACUUAUCUAUAGUAUCUAUAGUAUUUUUGUAUCAGAUAUUUGUACUUUAACAAACUUAUAUUAUCUUCUGCAAGCAGAAAAACAAACACCUACACCUAUGUAGCACUCUAAAUGUAAAUUUUAUUUGCACUAAUUGGAAGUUGGGAAUUGCACCUUGUAUUAAUUAUGUUGUCACGGAAUUCCAAAAUGUUUUACCAAACAUUCUUUUGUUUGAUUUGAACUGUGACUGUGAAUCUUCAAUGAUUUAGCCCAAUAUCUUAUGAACAACAUUUGUUGUGAUGCAGUGUCAUGUUUCUGAUGAUAGAAUACCUUAUCUAAAUGGCCUUUUAAAUGUUGAUGACUGAAUUUGAUGACUGCCAAGACAAACAUAAAGUUUACUAUUUUAAGUCAGUUCUUGUGUGUUCAUGUGUCUCUAUUUGUGUUGUGGAGUAAAUACUGCAUUUAACAGUGCUAUAGGGGGCCUUAAAUGCCCAAAUGAUGGCUGUAUAGAAAGCAUAUAUAUACAUACAGGCAGGAAAUACAGGAGAUACAGUUGUUUUCAUUCCUGGUCCUGGAGACCCACAUCACUGCACAUUUUGUACACUGUAAAAAAUGACCGUGAACUUAACGGUAAAAGACUGUAAAAAUGCGACAUUAAAAACCUGUUAAAUGGCUAAUGGUAAAUUCCCCUACACUUGACUAUAUACGGUGAAAAACUGUAUUGGACAUUGCAUGUAAUUUUACGGUAGUAUACCGUUUUUGGUAUAAUUUACAGUGAAUAACCGUAAAUUGACAUUCCCAGAAUUCCCUGCGUUACAUUUUAAAUUUGAUGUUUUUUGUUGAAAUAGCUGUUUCUUCUUAGAUUAUUUUCUUAUCAGUUUUGUAUAUUAUGGUUGUAUGAUACACCUAAUGUUGCUAAAUGAAUGUUUAUUGCAUUAUUUCAGUUUCAUGUGUGUUACCAUGAUGGUGUUUAGUGUUUGUGUGAAUGACGCUGUGCACCUUCUAUAUAUUUUAUUUAAAAGCUGAUUGUGAUGGGCUUUGGUUCAUCAUGUGACUUUCUCAUCACCUCCUGCAUUUGGUGGUUAUCAGUGUAUUACAAAGGUCCAAAACAGAUUUCAGUACUUCAAUAGGUUGAUAUAUUAACAUUAUUUCAGUUAAUGAAGUUACGGUAUUUAACUGUAAAUUUAAGUUAAACCCGUAAAACCUAAAAUGUUGCUACCGUAUUUAUGGUAAAAUUCCAGCAACCACAUCUGCUGUUUUUUUACCAUAAAUUUUACAGAUUUUUUUUUUUUUUUUACAGUGUAUGUCCGUCUCUGACACACUUAGUUAAGUUCAUGGAGUGCUCUGCUAAUGUUAAACAAGUGUUAAAUAUGGAUGACAUACAAGAUGUUCAGUGCCAUGACAAGACUGAAAAGCACUGGUUUAUUGUAGACAGAGUCAGGUGAAUGAGGAGGAAUGCAGAUCACUGGCAAAGGCAGUUGACAAAAACAAUAAGCAAUGGCAGUCUCAAUUUAAUCAAAGAUGAAGAAGUAUUGACCAAGUAUUCAACAGCCAAUUGAGAAAGGAAUUUUGCAGCAAAUCAAUGUUUACAGCCUUGAAUGCAUUAAUGCAAUGCAAAUUGCUUUGAAUAAAAGUGUCUGCUAAAAGCACAAGUGUAAAUUCUCAAAUAAGGUUAGAAAUAAAUUAAACUUUGUAGCUGAAUGAAAUUUGUUUUAUUUAUUCAUUUAACCCUGGACAAGUAAAUUACAUAUACAUUUUUUAGGCUAUAAUGAAAUUAGAAUGAUCAACCAUUUAAUUUCAGCACUUCAUGAACUGACAACUAAAUAGCACGCAGGCCAUCAUGUAGAGCAUGUACGCACAUGUUGGGAGUAUUCCUAGUAAACAGAAAAGGAAUGACUGUUUGUAUAUGUUCUUCACAGAGAUCACUCAGAAUAGAAUGUGUCGUUGAAUGUGUUCUUUUUUUAGAGAAAAAAAAAAAAAUGGAAGAUAACUCCCCUUCCCCUCACCCCCCACAAAUUAAAUUACACAGAUAAAGAAGUUAUUAUACCAAGGCUAAGACAGACAAAUCCACAUAUUUUCAAAUACAAAAGCGCAACAUAUAUACACACACACACAUCAAUCAGCAGCGUGAGAGGCAUUUAACAUUGACUCUGCCAAUAUUUAGUUAUUUUCCAGAAAUUGUAUAAACCGAUGUCAAAUUUUAUGGUAGUCCUUUCGUUUACCCUUUAUACUGCAGGUUAUUUUUUUCCAGUGCAAUAAUGCGCCAGAUCUUUCAACCAAUGAUCAAUGGAUGGAUAAUGGAAUGUGUUCUAUUAUAAGUACUAAUAAACUUGUAACCUAAUAAACCCUGAAGCCCACAAACACCCACAUACCUUUUUCAGGUUCUUUGAAACAUGCACUAUGGAUCCCAUAGAACAAGUUCCUGAACUGUUCCCCACAGAACAGAAAUAGCUCAGGAGGAGGUAAGAAUCUUCACUCACAAAAAAAAAAAAAAAACAUGGAAGAUAACUCCCCUUCCCCUCACCCCCCACAAAUUAAAUUACACAGAUAAAGAAGUUAUUAUACCAAGGCUAAGACAGACAAAUCCACAUAUUUUCAAAUACAAAAGCGCAACAUAUAUACACACACACACAUCAAUCAGCAGCGUGAGAGGCAUUUAACAUUGACUCUGCCAAUAUUUAGUUAUUUUCCAGAAAUUGUAUAAACCGAUGUCAAAUUUUAUGGUAGUCCUUUCGUUUACCCUUUAUACUGCAGGUUAUUUUUUUCCAGUGCAAUAAUGCGCCAGAUCUUUCAACCAAUGAUCAAUGGAUGGAUAAUGGAAUGUGUUCUAUUAUAAGUACUAAUAAACUUGUAACCUAAUAAACCCUGAAGCCCACAAACACCCAUUUCUCAGGAUUCACAGUUGUGAAGACUGAAUACCUUUUUCAGGUUCUUUGAAACAUGCACUAUGGAUCCCAUAGAACAAGUUCCUGAACUGUUCCCCACAGAACAGAAAUAGCUCAGGAGGAGGUAAGAAUCUUCACUCACAAAAUGAAACAGAUGCGCACAAUGUUGUAACAACUUUACCAAAGUGAACUGAACUGCUGUCACACACAGCUAUAGUAACAAAGCCAUUUACUUGUUGACAUUUUGAACUGCAUAGCCAGAAGUAGUUUUUGUAGUCAAGUUAUAGUAAAAGUUAUACUUAAAGGGAUAGUUCACCCAAAAAUAACAAAUAUGUCAUUAAUUACUCACCCUUGUGUCGUUCCAAACCCGAAAGACCUUCGUUCAUCUUUGGAACACAAAUUAAGAUACUUUUUGAUGAAUUCCCGAGAGCUCUCUGGCCCUCCAAUAGACAGCAAGGGUCCUAACACGAUCAAGGUCCAGAAACGUAGCAAGGAGAUCACUAAAAUAAUCCAUGUGACAUCAGUGGUUCAACCGUAAUUUUACAAAGCUACGAGAAUACUUCUUGUGCACAAAAGAAAACAAAUAAUUGGCGCCAGGGUGAUGUGGACGAGAAGAAUUGUUGAAUAAAUUUGUUAUUUGUUUUCUUUGCGCACAGAAAGUAUUCUCGGAGCUUCGUAAAAUUACGUUUGAACCACUGACGUCACAUUGAUUAUUUUACCCAUGUCCUACGUUUCUGAGCCUUGAUCGUG